rnacentral:lncRNA from 1 species
AAAACUGUGGAGGUUCAAGCUUCAGUUGAUAGAGAACAAGACAAAGGGUCGGAUUGGGAGAAACUUAUGAUCUGACCCUCCGACCUAAGGAAUACUGUACCGGGGUCCUCAGACUUAUCACAGAGAAGUCCCCGAAAUUUGACACAGAUACCUUUGGGUCAAAGAAAAAAGAUACAGCCGAGCCCUCGGGCGAGGCGGAUAAGGGUCGGCGAAACAGACAGGGUCGGGCGAGACGGAAAAAGGGGUCGGGCGAAACAGACAGGGUCGGGCGAGACGGAAAAAGGGGUCGGGCGAACCGGGAAGGGGGUCGGCAGUUUACCUUUAGGCCUACUGGUGAAGUCUUGGGGUCGGAAAGAACAGGCUCAGGCGGAGUGAUGAAAGGUGCUAAGGCUUGGGUGGCGGCGAUGUCCGGCGGUGCUCCGGCGGUGGCGGUGCUUCUUGUUGACAC